ACGCUCGACACCUACGGGAGGCAGCAGUGGGGAAUAUUGCACAAUGGGGGAAACCCUGAUGCAGCGACGCCGCGUGAAGGAAGAAGUAUCUCGGUAUGUAAACUUCUAUCAGCAGGGAAGGAAAAUGACGGUACCUGACUAAGAAGCCCCGGCUAACUACGUGUCAGCAGCCGCGGUAAUCUGAGCGGGCUGGCAAGGC
rnacentral:rRNA from 1 species